rnacentral:rRNA from 1 species
CCCUUAGACGUUCUUGGCCGCACGCGCGCUACACUGACGAAGGCAACGAGCUUUCCUUUACCGAAAGGUACGGGUAAUCUUUUGAAACUUCGUCGUGCUGGGGAUAGAUCCUUGCAAUUAUUGAUCUUAAACGAGGAAUUCCUAGUAAGCGCAAGUCAUCAACUUGCGUUGAUUACGUCCCUGCCCUUUGUACACACCGCCCGUCGCUACUACCGAUUGAAUGGUUUAGUGAGGCCUUCGGAUCCGCGACUCGUUUUGUGGAGAAGUUGGACAAACUCAGUCAUUUAGAGGAAGUAAAAGUCGUAACA